GGUUUCGUGGUCUAGUGGUAGGAUACUCGCUUAGGGAGAACCUUUGCAAUGAUAUGCGAGUGGUCCCGGGUUCGAUCCCCGGCGAAACCC